rnacentral:rRNA from 1 species
CCUACGGGAGGCAGCAGUGAGGAAUAUUGGUCAAUGGGCGCGAGCCUGAACCAGCCAAGUAGCGUGAAGGAUGACUGCCCUACGGGUUGUAAACUUCUUUUAUAAAGGAAUAAAGUGAGGCACGUGUGCCUUUUUGUAUGUACUUUAUGAAUAAGGAUCGGCUAACUCCGUGCCAGCAGCCGCGGGAAUACGGAGGAUCCGGGCGUUUUCCGGAUUUAUUUGGGUUAAAGGGAGCGUAGAUGGGUUGUUAAGUCAGUUGUGAAAGUUUGGGGCUCAAGCGUAAAAUUGCAAUUGAUACUGGCAGUCUUGAGUACAGGUGAGGUAGGCGGAAUGCGUGGUGUAGCGGUGAAAUGCUUAGAUAUCACGAAGAACUCCGAUUGCGAAGGCAGCUUACUAAACUGCCACUGACAUUGAUGCACGAAAGUGUGGGGAUCAAACAGGAUUAGAUACCCGUGUAGUC